AUUGAACGCUGGCGGCAGGCUUAACACAUGCCAGUCGAGCGGAGAGAGGUAGCUUGCUACUGAUCUUAGCGGCGGACGGGUGAGUAAUGCUUAGGAAUCUGCCUAUUAGUGGGGGACAACAUUUCGAAAGGAAUGCUAAUACCUCAUACGUCCUACGGGAGAAAGCAGGGGAUCUUCGGACCUUGCGCUAAUAGAUGAGCCUAAGUCGGAUUAGCUAGUUGGUGGGGUAAAGGCCUACCAAGGCGACGAUCUGUAGCGGGUCUGAGAGGAUGAUCCGCCACACUGGGACUGAGACACGGCCCAGACUCCUACGGGAGGCAGCAGUGGGGAAUAUUGGACAAUGGGCGCAAGCCUGAUCCAGCCAUGCCGCGUGUGUGAAGAAGGCCUUAUGGUUGUAAAGCACUUUAAGCGAGGAGGAGGCUACUUUAGUUAAUACCUAGAGAUAGUGGACGUUACUCGCAGAAUAAGCACCGGCUAACUCUGUG
rnacentral:rRNA from 1 species